GGGGCUAUAGCUCAGUGGCAGAGCGCUUGCCUUGCACAUAUGAGGCACUGAGUUUGAUCCUUAGCACCA
rnacentral:tRNA from 1 species